GCCCGUCUAAACGGAAUUCACCGGCGGUUGAGUAGGUGGGCCCCGGCCUUUGUUAAACAAGAGAAGAAAAGAGGAAUCCCGGGCAGAGCUGCCCCUACCCGACCUGCCCACUGUCUAUCAUUUUGCUCUAUAAAUUCAAGUACUGCCUUGUGAAAUGCAGUUUGCCACUUUAGCUACUCAACGCCGGGUGCGUAGGUUGUCAUAUACCACUUUCGGAGUUUUUUCUUGAGAGCUUUUGCAAAUGGCUUCUUCUUUCAUUGCUGCUGGUGAAGAAUGCAAUGAGCAAAACAAAAAGGCUGCAUUUCGUAGCCUAAGACGGCAAUGUUCGUCCAACGAGGCUUCUUUUGGAAGUCAUGUGACCAAGUCAUGUGUCUGUGCUCCCACAACUCAUGCUGGAUCUUUCAAAUGCAGGCUGCACAGGGUAAAUUCUCAAGGCCAUUCAUCUCAGCCAGCUCCGCAGCCUUCACACUCCUCGUCAUCCAUAGAGGCACAAUAAAAAAAAAAAAAGUAUUAAAGAAAAAGGAGUCCUCUGUAUUUCUACUGGGAUUGAAUUCUCAUAUAGUAGUAUGUAGAGGAGACUCUGCUUCUUCCUCUACUACCUUUGUUGGUUCUUUUUCCCCACUUUUUUUCUUUUUUUCCCUUUUGAGUCCUGGGUUUGAUUCGUCUGUACUGUAAGGUUCGAGUGGUGGUUGGUGUAAUUAAUUAUAUGGAUGAAUGCUGUUUUGGAAGAACUUAGCAAUUGAAGAGUGGUUAUGGACA